rnacentral:rRNA from 1 species
CAUUACCGAGUUCAUGCCCUUACGGGUAGACCUCCCACCCUAUGUUAUAUUACCUUUGUUGCUUUGGCGGGCCGCCCGGCUUCGGCCAGGCUACCGGCUCCAGCUGGUAAGCGCUCGCCAGAGGACCCUCAACUCUGAAUAUCAGUGUCGUCUGAGUACUAUAAAAUAGUUAAAACUUUCAACAACGGAUCUCUUGGUUCUGGCAUCGAUGAAGAACGCAGCGAAAUGCGAUAAGUAAUGUGAAUUGCAGAAUUCAGUGAAUCAUCGAAUCUUUGAACGCACAUUGCGCCCCUUGGUAUUCCGAGGGGCAUGCCUGUUCGAGCGUCAUUACAACCCUCAAGCACUGCUUGGUAUUGGGCUCCGCUGGCUCCAGCGGGCCUUAAAAUCAGUGGCGGCGCCGUUUGGGCUCUGAGCGUAGUAAAUAUCCUCGCUAUAGAGACCAGGCGGUUCUUGUCAUCAACCCCCAACUUUCUAAGUUUGACCUCGGAUCAGGUAGGGAUACCCGCUGAACUUAAGCAUAUC